UACGGAGGGUGCGAGCGUUGUCCGGAAUCAUUGGGCGUAAAGGGCGCGUAGGUGGCCCGGUGAGUCUUUGGUGAAAGCGCGGGGCUCAACCCUGCGUCGGCCAGGGAUACUGCCGCGGCUCGAGCACUGUAGAGGCAGGCGGAAUUCCGGGUGUAGCGGUGGAAUGCGUAGAGAUCCGGAAGAACACCGGUGGCGAAGGCGGGUCUCUGGGCAGUAACUGACGCUGAGGAGCGAAAGCGUGGGGAGCGAACAGG
rnacentral:rRNA from 1 species